rnacentral:rRNA from 1 species
GCGGCGAGCGAAGCGGGAAGAGCCCAGCGCCGAAUCCCCGGGUCCCCUAGCAGGCCCGCGGGAACUGUGGCGUAAGGAAGUCCGGCCCCGCGGCCGCGUCGGCGCCGAGGUCCUUCUGAUUGAGGCCUCCUCCGUCCCAGGGCGGGUGUCAGGCCCCUGCGGGCGCCGGCCGGCCGCGGACCAGGGCUUCCGGGAGUCGGGUUGUUUUGUAGCGCAGCCCAAAGACGGGUGGUAAACUCCAUCCAAGGCUAAAUACCUGCACGAGACCGAUAGAGC